CACUAGGUGUGGGGGGCCUUUUCCGGGUCUUCCGCGCCGUAGCUAACGCAUUAAGUGCCCCGCCUGGGGAGUACGGCCGCAAGGCUAAAACUCAAAGGAAUUGACGGGGGCCCACACAAGCGGCGGAGCAUGCGGAUUAAUUCGAUGCAACGCGAAGAACCUUACCAAGGCUUGACAUGUGCCGGUCGGCUCCGGAGACGGGGCUUCCUCCUUGUGGGGCCGGUUCACAGGUGGUGCAUGGUUGUCGUCAGCUCGUGUCGUGAGAUGUUGGGUUAAGUCCCGCAACGAGCGCAACCCUUGUCCCGUGUUGCCAGCACGUUGUGGUGGGGACUCGCGGGAGACUGCCGGGGUCAACUCGGAGGAAGGUGGGGAUGACGUCAAAUCAUCAUGCCCCUUAUGUCUUGGGCUUCACGCAUGCUACAAUGGCCGGUACAGAGGGCUGCGAUACCGUGAGGUGGAGCGAAUCCCUUAAAGCCGGUCUCAGUUCGGAUCGGUGUCUGCAACUCGACACCGUGAAGUUGGAGUCGCUAGUAAUCGCAGAUCAGCAACGCUGCGGUGAAUACGUUCUCGGGCCUUGUACACACCGCCCGUCACGUCAUGAAAGUCGGCAACACCCGAAGCCCGUGGCCCUACGGGGAGCGGUCGAAGGUGGGGCUGGUGAUUGGGACGAAGUCGUAACAAGGUAACC
rnacentral:rRNA from 1 species